rnacentral:rRNA from 1 species
AGAGUUUGAUCAUGGCUCAGGACGAACGCUGGCGGCGUGCCUAAUACAUGCAAGUAGAACGCUGAAAUCUGGUGCUUGCACCGGAUGGAUGAGUUGCGAACGGGUGAGUAACGCGUAGGUAACCUACCUCAUAGCGGGGGAUAACUAUUGGAAACGAUAGCUAAUACCGCAUAACAGUCUUUAACUCAUGUUAGAGUCUUGAAAGGGGCAAUUGCUUCACUAUGAGAUGGACCUGCGUUGUAUUAGCUAGUUGGUGAGGUAACGGCUCACCAAGGCGACGAUACAUAGCCGACCUGAGAGGGUGAUCGGCCACACUGGGACUGAGACACGGCCCAGACUCCUACGGGAGGCAGCAGUAGGGAAUCUUCGGCAAUGGGGGCAACCCUGACCGAGCAACGCCGCGUGAGUGAAGAAGGUUUUCGGAUCGUAAAGCUCUGUUGUAAGAGAAGAACGUGUGUGAGAGUGGAAAGUUCACACAGUGACGGUAUCUUACCAGAAAGGGACGGCUAACUACGUGCCAGCAGCCGCGGUAAUACGUAGGUCCCGAGCGUUGUCCGGAUUUAUUGGGCGUAAAGCGAGCGCAGGCGGUUUGAUAAGUCUGAAGUUAAAGGCUGUGGCUCAACCAUAGUACGCUUUGGAAACUGUCAAACUUGAGUGCAGAAGGGGAGAGUGGAAUUCCAUGUGUAGCGGUGAAAUGCGUAGAUAUAUGGAGGAACACCGGUGGCGAAAGCGGCUCUCUGGUCUGUAACUGACGCUGAGGCUCGAAAGCGUGGGUAGCGAACAGGAUUAGAUACCCUGGUAGUCCACGCCGUAAACGAUGAGUGCUAGGUGUUAGGCCCUUUCCGGGGCUUAGUGCCGCAGCU